GAACAAGGGAAAAGGCAAUUGCUGUCGACACGUUUGCCAUGACUGAUGUUUGGAAUAAUAAAAGCAAACUGCGUGAAGUAUGUGGAGAUUUUACAGUACAUAUAGACUCAAGUAUUUAUUUAUGCAUCUUUGAGUUAGUCCUUCCGAGCGAUGUAUAAAUAUACCUUUUCUACCCAUGUUUUUCUAAUUUUAGCUUGAUCCACUGAUGUUGAAAUUAAUCAUUGGCAUUGUCAAUAAGAACAACCACUGGAUAUUGAUGGUGAGUUAAAGUGUCAUGGUUAGAAAUCGUGCUUUUGAGUCUGCAUUUCAAUAUUCCCUCUGUUGAGCCUUUUCAUGUGAUAGCGUAGCAUGUAUACAAACUUCGCAAACAUCGGGAUGAAAAGGGUGAAAACCUAUUAAUGAAUGUAAAAAUAGCAAGGUGUACUUUCCCAUUUGUACAAUAGGUUAUGCUUCCAUCAGAGAAGAGGUCAUUGUUCCUUGAUCCUCUUGGGGAAAAGGCAAAGGACAUAAAACACUGUCAAGAGCAUUCAUGAGACAAAGGGGACUCAAUAUCUCAAAAUGGUCAUGCACCUCUCUCCCUCACCCUCUGCAAAAAGAUGUGACAUCUUGUGGAGUAUUUGCAUUAAAGUUUGCAGAAUGCAUUUUAAAAGGGCAGAGCAGCUCCUUUGGAUCAUCAAAAAAACACAUUGAGGGACUAAGAAAGGUCAUUGCAACCACUCUACUGGAAAACAGCGAUGACCUCAGUGAACUCUGCCACAUCUGUGGUAACGUGGAGGAUGGCCAGGAUGAGACAGUUUCCUGGAUAUCCUGUGACUCAUGUCAUCGGUGGUACCACCAGCGAUGUGCCAAAUGUAUCA